rnacentral:rRNA from 1 species
UACGGAAGGCAGCAGUGGGGAAUAUUGCACAAUGGGCGCAAGCCUGAUGCAGCCAUGCCGCGUGUAUGAAGAAGGCCUUCGGGUUGUAAAGUACUUUCAGCGGGGAGGAAGGCGAUGCGGUUAAUAACCGCGUCGAUUGACGUUACCCGCAGAAGAAGCACCGGCUAACUCCGUGCCAGCAGCCGCGGUAAUACGGAGGGUGCAAGCGUUAAUCGGAAUUACUGGGCGUAAAGCGCACGCAGGCGGUCUGUUAAGUCAGAUGUGAAAUCCCCGGGCUUAACCUGGGAACUGCAUUUUGAAACUGGCAGGCUUGAGUCUUGUAGAGGGGGUAGAAUUCCAGGUGUAGCGGUGAAAUGCGUAGAGAUCUGGAGGAAUCCGGUGGCGAAGGCGGCCCCUGGGACAAAGCUGACGCUCAGGUGCGAAAGCGUGGGGAGCAAACAGGGAUUAGAUACC